GACUAUGGUUCCUUAGGUCAUAUUUGAUGGCCCAAAAAAACUUUUUUAGCGAUCCGGGUCUGGGAGGCCCAGGACCACUUGGAAUGCGUUGGCUAUAGCACACGAAAAUAUGGGAAUUAGGCAGAAUUCUACUUUUUUAGUCAUAAAACGCAAAAACAACGAGGAGAAGUCAUGACGGGGCGGUAACUGUGGUUCCUUAUGUCGUAUUUCAUGGCCCGAAAAAGGUUUUAGGGGAUCGGGGGGCCCGUGCCCACUCGGAAGGCAUGGGCUAUAGCACACAAAAAUAUGGGAAUCAGGCGGAAUUAUAUUUGGUUGGCCAUAAAAUGGCCAUUGCGGGGCGGUGACGUUGGUUCCUUAAGUCGUAUUUGAUGGCCUGGAAAAAUUUUAGGCGAUCGGGGUCCGGUGGGCUCGGGACCACUCGGAAGGCGUGGAGCGGUCAUGACGGGGAGGUGACUAUUGUUCCUUAGGUCAUAUUUGAUGGCCCGAAAAACUUUUAGGCGAUCCGGUUCCAGGGGGCCCGGGCUCACUCAGAAUGUGUGGGCUAUAGCACACGAAAAUAUGGGAAUCGGGCGGAAUUCUAGUUUUUUGGUCGUAAAAUGCAAAACAAACGAGGAACGGUCAUGAAGAGGCGGUGACUAUGGUUCCUUAGGUCGUAUUUGAUCGCCCAGAAAAAUGUUUAAGCGAUCCGCUUUUCUAGGGACCCGGGCCCACUCAGAAGGCGUAGGCUAUAGCACACGAAAAUAUGGGAAUCAGGCGCACGACGCAAACAACUAGAAGCCAUCAUGACAGGGUGGUGACUAUGGUUCCUUAGGUCAUAUUUAAUGGCCCAAAAAAAUUUUAGGCGAUCCGAUGAUGGGGGCUUGGGCCCACUCGGAAAGCGUGGGCUAUAGCACACGAAAAAUAUGGGAAUCG
rnacentral:lncRNA from 1 species